GACGAACGCUGGCGGCGUGCUUAACACAUGCGAGUCGAAUGGAAAGGCCCUGCUUUUGUGGGGUGCUCGAGUGGCGAACGGGUGAGUAACACGUGAGUAACCUGCCCUUGACUUUGGGAUAACUUCAGGAAACUGGGGCUAAUACCGGAUAGGAGCUCCUGCUGCAUGGUGGGGGUUGGAAAGUUUCGGCGGUUGGGGAUGGACUCGCGGCUUAUCAGCUUGUUGGUGGGGUAGUGGCUUACCAAGGCUUUGACGGGUAGCCGGCCUGAGAGGGUGACCGGCCACAUUGGGACUGAGAUACGGCCCAGACUCCUACGGGAGGCAGCAGUGGGGAAUAUUGCACAAUGGGCGGAAGCCUGAUGCAGCAACGCCGCGUGCGGGAUGACGGCCUUCGGGUUGUAAACCGCUUUCGCCUGUGACGAAGCGUGAGUGACGGUAAUGGGUAAAGAAGCACCGGCUAACUACGUG
rnacentral:rRNA from 1 species